CCAGCAUGAGCUGGAAAUGUAGGAACCUCAGCCUCCCGAGCAGAAAGAAUCUUUGACCAUCAGUCUGUGACCUGCCCCUUCUCUUUACAUGCAGCCGCUCUCUGCUCCCUGCCCCAAUGAACAUCUGCACUAGGCCCAAGCCUUGGAGUAAUUUACCUGAAGAGUGACACCAUUGAUUUUGAAACUACUAUGAGGAAACUGAAGCCCAGAGAGGUGAAGUGAGGUGCCCAAGGCCACACAGCAAGUUAGAGGCACAGCUAGUACGGUAGCUCAAGUCUCCUGACUCCCAGUCCAGUGCUCCUCCCAUUACUCCACGAGUCCUGUCUCUAAGCUUCCUGACAAAUGCUAGAACGGAAGAAACCCAAGACAGCUGAAAACCAGAAGGCAUCUGAGGAGAAUGAGAUUACUCAGCCGGGUGGAUCCAGCGCCAAGCCGGGCCUUCCCUGCCUGAACUUUGAAGCUGUUUUGUCUCCAGACCCAGCCCU
rnacentral:lncRNA from 1 species